rnacentral:misc_RNA from 1 species
GAUGAAGAACGUAGCGAAAUGCGAUAAGUAAUGUGAAUUGCAGAAUUCAGUGAAUCAUCGAAUCUUUGAACGCACAUUGCGCCCCUUGGUAUUCCGAGGGGCAUGCCUGUUCGAGCGUCAUUACACCACUCAAGCUAUGCUUGGUAUUGGGCGUCGUCCUUAGUUGGGCGCGCCUUAAAGACCUCGGCGAGGCCACUCCGGCUUUAGGCGUAGUAGAAUUUAUUCGAACGUCUGUCAAAGGAGAGGAACUCUGCCGACUGAACCCUUUAUUUUUCUAGGUUGACCUCGGAUCAGGUAGGGAUACCCGCUGAACUUAAGCAUAUCAAUAAGCGGAGGA